AACGCGUGGGUGACCUGCCCCAUACCGGGGGAUAACAGCUGGAAACGGCUGCUAAUACCGCAUAAGCGCACAGAGCUGCAUGGCUCGGUGUGAAAAACUCCGGUGGUAUGGGAUGGGCCCGCGUCUGAUUAGGCAGUUGGCGGGGUAACGGCCCACCAAACCGACGAUCAGUAGCCGGCCUGAGAGGGCGACCGGCCACAUUGGGACUGAGACACGGCCCAAACUCCUACGGGAGGCAGCAGUGGGGAAUAUUGCACAAUGGGGGAAACCCUGAUGCAGCGACGCCGCGUGAGCGAAGAAGUAUUUCGGUAUGUAAAGCUCUAUCAGCAGGGAAGAUAAUGACGGUACCUGACUAAGAAGCCCCGGCUAACUACGUGCCAGCAGCCGCGGUAAUACGUAGGGGGCAAGCGUUAUCCGGAUUUACUGGGUGUAAAGGGAGCGUAGACGGCAAGGCAAGUCUAAUGUGAAAACCCAGGGCUUAACCCUGGGACUGCAUUGGAAACUGUCUGGCUCGAGUGCCGGAGAGGUAAGCGGAAUUCCUAGUGUAGCGGUGAAAUGCGUAGAUAUUAGGAAGAACACCAGUGGCGAAGGCGGCUUACUGGACGGUAACUGACGUUGAGGCUCGAAAGCGUGGGGAGCAAACAGGAUUAGAUACCCUGG
rnacentral:rRNA from 1 species